CUCCUACGGGAGGCAGCAGUGAGGAAUAUUGGUCAAUGGGCGAGAACUGAACCAGCCAAGUAGCGUGCAGGAUGACGGCCCUAUGGGUUGGUAAACUGGCUUUUAUAAGGGAAUAAAGAUGAGCCUCGUGAGGAUUUUUGCAUGUACCUUAUGAAUAAGGACCGGCUAAUUCCGUGCCAGCAGCCGCGGUAAUACGGAAGGUCCGGGCGUUAUCCGGAUUUAUUGGGUUUAAAGGGAGCGUAGGCCGGAGAUUAAGCGUGUUGUGAAAUGUAGAUGCUCAACAUCUGCACUGCAGCGCGAACUGGUUUCCUUGAGUACGCACAAAGUGGGCGGAAUUCGUGGUGUAGCGGUGAAAUGAAUAGAUAUCACGAAGAACUCCGAUUUCCAAUGCAGCUCACUGGAGCGCAACUGCACGGUGAAGCUCGAAAGUGCGGGUAUCGAACAGGAUUAGAUACCCUAGAUAGUCCCGCACGGUAAACGAUGGGAUGCCCGCUGUUUGUCUUAAUAAGUCAGCGGGCAAGCGAAAGCAUUAACCAACCCACCUGGGGAGUACACCGGCAAACGUGAAACUCAAAAGGAAUUGUCCGGGGGCCCGCACAAACGGAGGAACAUGUGGUUUAAUUCUAUUAUUACGCGAGGAA
rnacentral:rRNA from 1 species